rnacentral:rRNA from 1 species
CCUACGGGAGGCAGCAGUGGGGAAUAUUGCACAAUGGGGGAAACCCUGAUGCAGCGACGCCGCGUGAGUGAAGAAGUAUCUCGGUACGUAAAGCUCUAUCAGCAGGGAAGAAAAUGACGGUACCUGACUAAGAAGCCCCGGGUAACUACGUGCCAGCAGCGGCGGUAAUACGUAGGGGGCAAGCGUUAUCCGGAUUUACUGGGCGUAAAGGGAGCGGAGGGGGCAGCACAAGGCGGGAGUGAAAUCCCGGGGCUUAACCCCGGAACUGCUUUGGAAACUGGGCGGCUGGAGUGGAGGAGGGGUAAGCGGAAGGACGAGUGUAGCGGUGAAAUGCGUAGAUAUUAGGAGGAACACCGAUGGCGAAGGCGGCUUACUGGACUGUAACUGACGUUGAGGCACGAAAGCGUGGGGAGCAAACAGGAUUAGAUACCCCAGUAGUC